GAUCGAACCUGCAUCUUCAUGGAUUCUAGUCAGGUUUGUUAAUCGCUGAGCCAUGAAGGGAACUCCCACAUUUUCUACACUAAAGAGACAACAUUAUUUUUUGCCUUUUAAUGGGAAAUUUCAAACUUAAACAACAAUACAGAGAAUAGUACAGUGAGCCUCCAUGUACCUGUCAUUCCAUUUCAACAACUAUCAAGCAAAGUUAAAAAAAUUUUUUUAAAGUGCAAUCACCCACAAACUGUUGUGCCCAAAGCACCUGGAGCUAAUUACUAUGGUUCUUCAUAAAGGAUUUCUCCUAUUUUCUCUUGAAAAAUAUUUUGUUUCCAUUGCCCAAAUCCUGUUUCCCAAACAUGGGCUUAGUCACGAAAAAAUUUUUGUUAGAGAAAGCUCAAAGCAUUUCAAAGUCAUUAAUGAAAACAGUAAGUCGAUAAUGCGAAUUUUAAAUUUUUUUAUCAAAGUAAAAGCCACAUCUCUGCUUUCUGGCAGUUUAUCACUGUUUUUCUGAAUGUAUAAAUAAGAAGCUUAUGAACAAAGAGACCCAAAAAGUGUUGUAGCCGGUUGUGUGAGGUCUUUGCAUCUCCUUCUUCAUCUAGUUUAGGGAUUAGUCAUAAUCUGGGAAAACACAUUUAAGUACAAGGGUCCAUAGACUCUGCCAUCAGUUUGGGAAGCACUUUCAUUCUUGAACUCAUAAUCUGCAAUACAGAAUGUGUUGUACAGAUGCUGAUGAGGAGUUUUUAGAAGUUAAGAGCCAUGUCUGCUCCAAAGAAUGAUGCACUGCCCUGAAAAAACAGACUCCCACGAGUUUAAAUAUUUUCCCCACUGACAAAUAAAAGACACAAAGAGGUGCAACAUCUGCGAUCUAGUAUGGUUAUAACAAAAAACCUUUCUUCCGGACUCCUGGAUUUGUACCAGUUUUAAAGGAACAUCUCCACAGUAUGUUAGAGGAAGUGUGUGCAUUUUGAUGGGCUAACCUGUCUGGUGAACUUUAAAUGUGUGCUUUUUUUUUUUUUUAAAUCCUAGAUAACUUACUUUUGGAAAGUAGAAAAUUGUUUAUUUCUUUUAUUUCCAUAAGACCCAAAUACUUGUGCUUCUAAUGCACUCAGUAGAGCUGGACUAUAAAAAUAAUAAAUGUGUGACAACAUGAGUAUAAACAUAAUAAAUGUCAUGCUUUCACAUGGCAAAUUGUCAAUAUCUAUUGACAUUUGUUCUUAUGGCAUCUAUUAAGGCCAUACCAUAUUUAUUAACUCUGGUUUGAUUACACUGCUCCAUUAACUUGGUAAUUUCAUUAUAGUCUAAGAGGGAUUUUAGCUGCUGAAUUAGUUUAAAUUUUAUGCACAAGCUCAGAAGUCCUUGGGCAGUGAACACAUUUCACAUAUAUAUAAUAAAUAAUUAAUGAAUAAAAGCUCUUUGAGAGAAUCAGACAACAAUUAAAUCAGGAUCAGAUAACUUUUUUUAAUAAAACAAACUGAGAAAUUGCUCAUAGAUGUUAUAGUCAUAAACUGUGUCAGGUAUGCUCCUAAGGCUUGUUAGUAAUAUACUUUGCGGGAGAGAAUAACUUUAUCAGAGGGAAACAUACUUAAAUCUAGAAAUAAAUAUUAAGCCCACCUGGAUUGUGUGAAGCGAUAAAGGAAGAGGUGUAGAAGGUACUAGGCUGAGUAAAUUUGUUUCUGAACUAAUUUUAAACAUGAUAUUGCAGAAAUUUGAUGAGAAAUGUGUUCCACAUCUGAUAAAUCCCACAAAAGUAGCCAAAAGGACCAGGUAAGAGAUGAUAUACUGGCUGAGGUCUUUGUGACUGAGCAGGACCCUAUAGGGCCUUCCCAGGGCAGACCUCUCCUCCAACCUCAGCUGUAUCUUCUCUUUGAGGCACCUAGAUAAGACCACCUGAUGUGUAUUUCCUGAGUUGUUUUACAGGGGCUAAAACCCCACCAAAUGGAAGGAAUUAACUUGAUGACCAUGAGAUCAAAGAACCCUGAAGGAUUAAUUGAUCCUGUACUGUUACACCACCAUCAACCAAUCAGAACAUGUGCUCAUCACUUGCCUUGGGAGGCCCCACCCUCACCUAGCCUUUAAAAGUGCCUUGCUUGUGCUGAGAAUUCUGGUUUUUCCCAGUUUGAGCUGUCCUAGGCUCUGAAUCUGGUAUCAUACAAUAAAUGCUGCUCUUUCUUUUACCACAACCUUGUGUCUGUAGCCCCCCUGUGUACUGCAUGUGGCCAAGUGAACCCAAGUUUGUUUCAGUAACAAUUUUGGUGUCCACCUGAGGGGUGUGGUACCCAAUGGACCUCUUCCCCUCCCAUCCAGCUGCUACCUGCGCUUCUUGGCCUGGAGGACGUCCCUGAGUGUUUGCCACCACCCAGGUGUCACAGGCCCACAGAUUCUUUUGAUAUUUGUGGUGAAAGAAACAAGGAACAUACAUCAGCCUGCUGAGACAUCUUUGGCAAUGAUGUAUUUUAACAAACCCGGGACUGGCAGUCCCAGCAACCAUCAGUCCACUCUCUACAUUACUCCAGGAGGGGAUGGGAAACACCAGAUCAGUCCCACUGACAAAAUAUUCCUGACAUCAUUGUUCCUAACAAAUGCUGUGUUCUUCGUCAUCUCCUGGGACACAAACUGAGUCAGAGAGUAAAACUAAAGUUACGAAGGAUUGGAGACAAGAUGGCAGAGUAAAAGGACUCUGAGCUCACCUCUUUUCAUGAGAACACCAAAAUCAUAUCGAACAGCUGAAUAACCAUCAAUAAAAAAAGACUGGAAUGCACCAAAAAAAAAAAAAAAAGAUUUUCUAUAUCCAAAGGCCUAAAGAAGAAACCACAAAAUGAUAGGAGUGCACUCAUGAUAUAAUCAAAUCUCAUACCUGCCAGGUGGGUGAGCCACAAACUGGAGAUGAUUAUGUCACAAAAGUUCUCCAAUAUGACUGAGAGCUUUGAGCCCCCACCAUACUCCCUAGCCAAUAUGAGUGAGAGCUUUGAGCCCCACCAGGCUCAUGAGGAGGACCCUCAGAGCAUUUGGCAUUGAAGGUCAGCAGAACUUGGCAACAGGAGCUCCUCAGGAGUGGGGGAAACAGACUCCACUCUUAGAGGGCACACACAAGGUCUAAUGCACAUUCAGACCCACGACAGAAGCAGUGACUACAUGGGACCCCAGGCAAGACAUACCUACUUGUAAGUCUUGGGGAGGCCUGGUGCAGCUACUGGUCUCUCCAUGGUCAUACUAGUGGCAGACACGGUGGAGACCUCUGUCUAUUCUGGGCGAAGUCAGAUAUUUUGGGUUCUUGGGACCCAAGACCUGGCCUUGCCCAGCAGCAAUUACGUUCCAGUUCUGGGACACCUCAGGUCAAACAAGCAAUAGGGUGGGAACACAGCCCCACCCACCAGUAGAUAAGCUGCCUAAAGACUUUCUCAGCCCACAGCCACCUCUAAACAUGCCCCUAGAUGCAACCUUGCUCACUGGAAGGCCAAGACCCAGCUCUACCCACCAGUGGACAGGCACCACUCCUUCCUGUUAGGAAGCCUGCACAAGCUUCUAGACUAACCUCACCCACCAGGGGGCAGACAGCAAAAGCAAGAAAAUAUAAUCCUCUAGCCUGUAGAACUGAGUCUGAAAACAGAGGUCCAAACCUACUUAGCAGGUCCCUGGUCUUUGGAUGAUGAGAGGGCAUGUAUUGCUGGGACAUCCUGAACAAAGGGUCUUUUCUCCAAGGAUGAGAAAUGUAACUAAGCUACUACAUACAAAAAAAAAAAAAAAAAAAAAAAAAAAAAAAAAAAAUAGAAAUGUAAACAAAAUGAGAUGACAAAGGAAUAUGGUCCAGAUGGAGGAACAAGGCAAAAUCCAAGAACAACAACUAAGUGAUGUGGAAAUAGGCUAUCUACAUGAGAAGGGUUCAGAGUAAUGAUUGUAAAGAUGAUACAAGAACUCAGGAAAAGAAUGAUGCAUAAAGCAAGAGGUUACAAUAAUUUUUUUCAAAGAACUAGAAAAUUUAAAGAAUAUAAGAAGUGAGGGAGUUCCCAUCAUGGCUCAGUGGU